rnacentral:lncRNA from 1 species
CGAGGAGCCUCCCGGGCGGAGAUGCGGCAGCUCCCGCACCUCCGCACCCCGGGUUGGUGCCUCGGGGCCCCGCAGCGCUUUAGGGCGGAGAACCAAGUUUGUGUGGGUGCUUCUUCCUGGGGGCCCUCGGGCUGCGCCAGGUGUGAGACCGGAAUGCCAAUUUGGGGAAUCUCUCCUGUUCUUUCCUUUUUAAUUUUUUCUACUUGUCCUUGACAAGGGCCUAUUCCCACUGGAUCUGCAGGCGAUCAGUGGGUGACCGCGGCUGCGAGGGACUUUGUCAUCCGUCCUCCAGGAUCUGGGGAGAAAGAGCCCCAUCCCUUCUCUCUCUGCCACCAUUUCGGACACCCCGCAGGGACUCGUUUUGGGAUUCGCACUGACUUCAAGGAAGGACGCGAACCCUUCUCUGACCCCAGCUCGGGCGGCCACCUGUCUUUGCCGCGGUGACCCUUCUCUCAUGACCCU